GAUGAAGAACGCAGCGAAAUGCGAUAAGUAGUGUGAAUUGCAGAAUUCCGUGAAUCAUCGAAUCUUUGAACGCACAUUGCGCCCUGUGGUAUUCCGCAGGGCAUGCCUGUUCGAGCGUCAUUUCAACCCUCAAGCUCUGCUUGGUGUUGGGCCCUGCCCGCUGCGGCCGGCCCUAAAGACAGUGGCGGUGCCGCCUGGCCCUGAGCGUAGUACAUCUCUCGCUCCAGUGCCCGGUGGUAGCCUGCCAGAACCCCAACUCUCGUGGUUGACCUCGGAUCAGGUAGGGAUACCCGCUGAACUUAAGCAUAUCAAUAAGCGGAGGA
rnacentral:misc_RNA from 1 species